ensembl:lncRNA
UUCUAUUUGUCAAGGUCUCCGCGUUCUCUUCAGCUUCCCUUUACGCUCCCCCAGCACGGGGGCUUUGUGGAGUCCCCCCAAAGUCCCGGAACCCUGCGGGACGGUCAGAGGUUUGGCGGCCAGACGUUAGAAAAAGUGUCCCCGCUCUUUGCUGCCCUUGUGCACUCUGGGGCGCGAAGUGGAUACCAAAGGUGACCACGGGCUGUUUUCCUUCACAGCAAAUAGAUCACUUCUUACUUUUAAAAUGUAGAAAAGCACAGAAAAGGGGCUGGAAGAGAGGGGUAAGGAAUGAAGGCCAGCAUUGGCCAGGACACUGCUCUUUCCAUGACGUGCAGAGUCUCAAAGAUAUUGAGAAGAAAGGAAGGGAGAGAAGGAAACCCACGUCGUGUACCAGCAUUCUCCCAUGGGUUGUGUCAUUUCAUCCUCACAGCAGCCUUUUGGGGGGCGCCAGGACCCAGACGCUCUGGGAGUUAAAUGAGGUGCCCAAGGUCACAGAGCUGGAGUGGCGGUGGGCAGGAGGCAGGU